CCUGGACCCUCUACAUCAGUCCUAGUAGGAGUGGUUGUGGGCCUGGUUGUUGCUGGUGUUCUACUGGCCAUUCUCCUGGUACUGCUGUGUCAAUAUAAAAACGCCAAAUGCCCCCCCAGCCCCAGAGGACCAACCUGGACCCCCAACAGGACCAAGGAUCUACCCAGGGUCGGGCUCCUGAUGCUGAGUAUACACAUCUGCGGCAUGGUGGCACUAACAUCUAUGAUACAAUCACUCCCUCUGACAGUAAUGACAGCGGUACUGUACACUAUAUUAAGUUAAGCAUGAAUACAGUAUAUAGUUGUUGUUGCUCUUCAUAUGUUUAAUAUGACUAACAUACUAACACUAAGUAGAUAUUAGUGUAUUACCUGUAUAUUUCAGAUGCUGGUACUGCUACUACUGGAUCAAGUGAUGUGACGUACACACAGAUAAAACUCAAAAAGUUGGACAAGAAGAAGAAAACUGAUCCAACAGAAAAUCCAGUCUAUUCUGAUGUCAAGACGGGGAAGACCACAGCAACUGGACUUGUUGAUGUGACCUAUGCUGAUGUUGACCUUAAACAGAAGGCCAACGCCAAGAAGAAGAAAUAAACAUCAACUCCACCUGAGGCAGAUUCAGUCUAUUCUCAAUUGAAGCCAGGCACAUCCCCAGGUACCUGAGGGGGACAUGGAUUAUAGAAGGUCAACGUACACAAGCAAACACACACACACACACACACACACACACACACACACACACACACACACACACACACACACACACACACACACACACACACACACACACACACACACACACACACACACACACACACACACACAUUAUACAUUAAGGAUUUUUUUCAAAUGUUUAUUUACCAACAGAUAUGUUGUAUUUAAGCAUGGUUUAAUUGUGUUUCACUGUAACAGAUGUUUGUAUUAUAAGGUGUAAUGAUGAUGGAUCUUAUUUGCAGCUACAGUAAUUGUAUCUGCUUUGUAUUGUGUAUUGAAUUGUGAUGUUGAUUUAUAUCUGUCAUUCAUAUGAUAGAAUAACAUAUUUGUAUUUGAAUUUCCCAACAAGAAUUAUUCACGUAUUCUUGUGAA